rnacentral:tRNA from 1 species
GGGGGGAAACUCAGUGGUAGAGUGUGUGCUUAGCAUGCAUGAGGUCCCGGGUUCAAACCCCAGUACCUCCA